GAACGGUCUUUGAAUUCCUGCAUCCACACACAACGGGUGGUGGCACGCGGUACGCCCAUCCGAAGUGACACCGCGACGCGUCAUCGAACUUCUUCGUCGACCAAAACAACCACCAUGACGACAGCGGCCAAGCUGUACGGCAAGGAUCUGAGCGAGUAUGAUGACAUUGACGUGGAUCAACUGCUGGCAGAGCUUACGCCGGAAGAGCUUAAUAUAUUGGCCAAGGAAGUGGAUCCUGAUGACAGUUUUAUGCCGCCCUCACAACGUUGCAGUUAUGAAUGCAAUAAGAGUCCUACAGGGCCAUUGAAUCGCAAGAAGCUCAUUGAGCAUAUCAACAAACAAGCUUUAGAGACACCUGAUAUUCCAGAACUGAAGCCAUAUGUACCUGGUGUAAUUAGGGGCAAGAAAUGGGUACCUCCGCCACAAGACAACACGAAAGAAAAGGAGGCAGACGAGCAGAUCGCGAUAGAUCUUGGUGAAGAGUAUGAACAAGCGCUUUCGGCCGCCACCCAAGAAGAAAUCAUUGAUCUUGCUGCUAUUCUUGGAUUUCAUUCUAUGAUGAAUCAAGAUCAGUAUCACGCAUCUUUACUGAAUUCUGGACAGCCAGUCGGGCUCGGUUGGGAUGGUGUGACGAAAGCUAGUCAACCGAAAAUUUAUCCGAUGGAACCGCCUAAUGAUACAGACGUUGACGCUACCAUUAAACAAGUGCGAGACGAUGAUUCCUCUCUAACUGAUUUAAAUUGGAACAAUAUUAAAAAUAUUUCGGACGAAAAAUUCAUGCAGUUGUUCGAAGGUUUGGAAAUGAACACACAUCUCGAAUCGCUAAGUUUAACCAAUGUUGGACUCAAUGACAAGACCGCGCAACGGCUAGCCGAUGCCAUAGAGAAGAAUUCGACACUCAGAGUACUCAAUGUGGAGACAAAUUUCAUAAGCCCGCCUGUGAUAGUAAGGCUGAUCAGAUCCCUUCUUAAAACAAAAUCAAUCGAAGAAUUCCGAUGUUCGAAUCAGAGGUCACAAGUAUUGGGUAACAAAAUUGAGAUGGAAAUCACACAAUUGGUAGAACAAAACCCGACGUUGUUACGACUCGGGUUGCAUCUGGAGUUCAAUGAUGCUAGACAUCGCGUAGCUGCGCAUCUGCAACGCAACAUCGAUAGGAUACGGAAAGAUCUAACGCUGCGGCUACAGUUCCGAUUCUUUAACAUGAACCACAGGAAACCUGCCUUGAUUCAAUGAAAGUACGGCAGUCCCGGCUCGGGGUGGCGACAUCUUAACGCGAAGUGGCGUUCGCCUAGAUCGCCUGCGCCGCAUGGGAAGAGCU
rnacentral:misc_RNA from 1 species